rnacentral:rRNA from 1 species
GACGAACGCUGGCGGCGUGCCUAAUACAUGCAAGUCGAGCGAUGAAGGAGAUACUUGUAUCUUUUGAAGAGCGGCGAACGGGUGAGUAACGCGUGGGGAAUCUGCCAAUGAGUGGGGGACAACAUUUGGAAACGAAUGCUAAUACCGCAUAAAAUCUAUUGAGACAUCUCAAGAGAUUGAAAGGAACAAUUGUUUCGCUCGUUGAUGAUCCCGCGUUGUAUUAGCUAGUUGGUGAGGUAAGGGCUCACCAAGGCGAUGAUACAUAGCCGACCUGAGAGGGUGAUCGGCCACAUUGGGACUGGGACACGGCCCAAACUCCUACGGGAGGCAGCAGUAGGGAAUCUUCGGCAAUGGACGAAAGUCUGACCGGGCAACGCCGCGUGAGUGAAGAAGGUUUUCGGAUCGUAAAGCUCUGUUGUUGUUAAAGAACGUUGAUGAGAGUGGAAAGUUCAUCAAGUGACGGUAAACAACCAGAAAGGGACGGCUAACUACGUGCCAGCCGCCGCCGUAA